GCGGCAAAGCUGCUCGGGGGUUUUUUAAGGUAAAAUAUUCCUUUCCGCUCCAGCGAAAGCAGCUCCCAGUUCAGCCCCAGAAGGCCCUCCCCUCGGGGCUCCUGAGCUCCUGGUGGGGGCCUGGGGGAGACUGAGCGGGCGGGCAGGACAGACAGCUGACCCGGAGGAGCUGCUCUGUUCUUUGUCUCCCAGACAGAGGCGCGUUUGAUUCCAGGGUUAGCAGCAGUAUUCUCCCUCCAGGGUGCGGAAGGAGAAAGCAAGCAGGCUGAUGGCUCUGCAGCCUCAUCGACAGGAGAAACCACUGUCCCACCUGCAGAGGUCCCUGCUGGGAACCAAGGCAGUCCUCCUGCCAAUCAAACCACCUUGGUGGAAACCAACCUGCCCGGCGUGGCUGCACUCCGAAGAGCUUCCCAGCUCCCAGUCUUAAAAAAUGAGAGGAAUGCAAACACUGCAGAGAUAAAGUUCUUAAGCACCAGCACUGUAGCACAGUGGUUAAGCCACAGCCCUUGACACUGGAUCCCAUAUCAGAGCACUGGUUCGAGUCCCAGCUACUCCACUUCCGAUCCAACUCCCUGCCAAAGUGCCUGGGAAGGCAGCAGAAGAUGGCCCAAGUGCUUGGGCCCCUCCACAUGGGAGACCCGGAGGAAGGUCCUGGCUCCUGGCUUCCAUCUGGCCCAGCUCUGGUUGUUGUGACCAUUUGGGGAGUGAACCAGCAGAGAGAAGAUCUCUUUCUCCAUCCCUCCUUCUCUCUCUGUAACCCUGCCUUUCAAAAUAAAUAAAUAAAAAUUUUUUAAG